GUCUAGGCGGAACCCGGGAAGUGUCUUGGUCCCUGGGGCGAGUGCCCAUGCUAAGUCGUACUGGAAGUGGGAUUAGUUGAGUUUGGGCUCUAAGAUGUAUGUAAGGGUAGGUUGGGCUGAGAUCCCGCUCUACAGUGACGUUUAGUCACGAGGAAGGACACUGGCCAGUCCUCUUGGACAGUCCUUCCCUUUGCUGAGGACCCCACCCCAUUGAUCUCCAUCUGCCCACCUUCCUGGCUGCACCUGGGGCUGUCUUGUCCCUGCCUCUCAUCAGUUCCCUGGUCUGCCUCAGACUCCUUAUUUGUGCACCAGUCCAGUCAGACCUGGGCUUCACCUGCUCCAGAAUCUGUUUCUGCUGUCCAGCUGCCCAGAUCAAAACCCUCUUUACCUUGUCUCGGUGCCACCAAUGGCCAGUGUGGAGCCCAGGCUUCCUGGAUCCACCGUAGAGACUGCUGCUGCUGUUUCCAGUGCCCACCCAGGGCAGCAGCCAGCAAGCAGGGAGGGUUAGGUCACACCCCCCGUUUACACCCAGAGGUUUGCAGCUGGCUACCUCACCUGACUUCACCUCCCUAAAUACUCUUCUGCCUGCUUUGGUUUUCCAAUCCAUUUUCCAUCCUCUCCUAUUGAACAGGCACCACCUGUUAGGCCCCAAGAAAUUCCUUUUCCCAAGGUCUGGCGUUUAGACAAAAGCCAGAAUUCCCUUAGGGACUUGAGAAGAUAGUUUCUACCUUAUCUUUGGCAAAAGGGACAUAUGUCACCUCUAUGGCUCCUCUGUUAAGUAUGCCUAGUGCCUAUUGGCAUCUCAAGGUCCAUGCCAGCCUCUGGGCUCCCCCAGUCCCUAUCCAUAAGUACCUGUACAGAGACAUCCUGGCUGGCAUCCCUUGCCCUCACCCUAAACCUCCAGCCCCUGAGCUUCGUCUCUUUCCUAUAUAACCCAGACAUUUUGGCUAUGAGCUCUCUUGGUCUCUUGGUUGUCAUGUGCUCUCUCCCUCUAUCCCCCCCAUCCCCCACCUCUCCUCUCAUGGUCUAGUCUGCUGGCCCAGUUCAGUCUGGACCCUUCCAGAAAAAAUUUUCUUCUCAAUCAUACCCAGGCUUCCUUAGUAUUGUUUUUUUAACUUAUUUAUUUUUAUGUGUAUUGGUGUUUUGCCUGCAUGUAUGCAUGUCCGUGUGAGGAUGCCAGAUCACCUGGAACUGGAGUUACAGACAGUUGUGAGCUGCCAUGUGGGUGCUGGGAAUUGAACCCAAGUCCUUUGGAAGAACAGCCAAUGCUCUUAACCACUGAGCCAUCUCUCCAGCGUCAACUUCCUUAGUAGUUCUGAUACUUUCCAAGCUGCUCCCUUCCCUUACUAUAUUCCCUCUCUUUCUCUCUUCUCAAGCACCUCCUCUUUGAAAAUCUCCCUGGCGGAGCCUUUGUGAGCCAGCAGUCCUUGGCUUUAGUCUCUCCAGCCCUCAGUGCACACUGCCGUCCUCUACAGCCUAUAGCAGCAAGGCCUGCCCGUGUUGUAGGGAGCCAAAGCCCCGUGUUGGAGUGGUAGGCCCAGUUCCAUCUUGGGGACCACCACCCAGGUAAAGUGAGGUCAAGUCCACUGCAGAAAAGAAUUUCAGGACAAGUCAAUGUGGAAGCACAUCUGUAUAAGAGUAAGAAGUCAGAAGAAGACAUAUAAAGUGACCUAAUACAGCAGGAGAGGAGACUGAAAAGGACUUCAUCAGAAUUAACAUAUGAAAGAAGCCAGUUGGCUGUGAAAGACUGGAUGCUCUUCCCUCUUGGCUGGUUUCCCUUAGGCUGGAUACAACAAAUAGAGCUGCCAGGGACAGUUUGACAAGACUGGAAGCCCUUUUCCUCACCUGACUUCAUUUAAGGAACAGAACAUGUGUGAAAAAAGCCUGCUACAUAUGAACAUGAGAGAGAUUGCUGGACCCUGCCCUCCACAAAGCCAGUUUCCCACCUCAUCCUCAUUGACGUAUGAUUAUCUGCUUCACUGUGGCCUGCCACUAUCCGUUCCUAUAACUUUCCUAACUUCCUGCUCAACAGUGACAGCUAAGAGGGAUAGGACACCUGCCAUAUUCGAAGAACUCUACCCAGGGAGCCUCAGUAAAUCUUACCAACCCUCUGAGCCCACAGUUGACCAGUCUCAGAGCCUGCCCGGGUGGGCAGCACUGCACACAGUAGCUCAGGACCUCCAGGUCCAUGCGAGUGAACCGAAUUCGCUCCAGGACCAUCUCUGGAAGGCUGCCGAGAGCCUGUCG